UCAGACUGAAAAGAAACUCAACUGUGCAAGUGCAGAGUGAUUUAAUCUCUUCCCAACUGCUUUGUGAUUCUCUUUUGCAAAGAAACUAAUUCUCUCAGACUCAAUUGAGGGCAAAAAGAGCAGAGACCAAUGGGACAGGGUCAGGAGGCUGUGGUUGGGCAUGUUCCACAUCUGACUACUGGCCCAAGGGGAGGACAUGAAGUGCCUGGGGCAAAACAAGGCUCUUGCGACUCUGUGUUCCCUUCCUAUUUGGUCUUUCCUGAAUGAAAACUCCUUAAGAAUUGUGAAGAAAACUGACUACCAGAGAAAAACAGACCGAUGGUUGCGUAUGCGGAAGAGAAAAGGACACAACCCCGUUCCUGUGACCUGGAGGGGGUCCCUGCAGCUGCUCCUC